GACGAACGCUGGCGGCGUGCCUAAUACAUGCAAGUCGAACGCUUCUUUCCUCCCGAGUGCUUGCACUCAAUUGGAAAGAGGAGUGGCGGACGGGUGAGUAACACGUGGGUAACCUACCCAUCAGAGGGGGAUAAAACUUGGAAACAGGUGCUAAUACCGCAUAACAGUUUAUGCCGCAUGGCAUAAGAGUGAAAGGCGCUUUCGGGUGUGGCUGCUGGAUGGAUCCGCGGUGGAUUAGCUAGUUGGUGUGGUAACGGCUCACCAAGGACACGAUGCAUAGCCGACCGGAGAGGGGGAUCGGCGACACUGGGACUGAGAAACGGCCCAGACUCCUACGGGAGGCAGCAGUAGGGAAUCUUCGGCAAUGGACGAAAGACUGACCGAGCAACGCCGCGUGAGGGAAGAAGGUGUUCGGAUCGUAAAACUCUGUUGUUAGAGAAGAACAAGGACGUUAGUAACUGAACGUCCCCUGACGGUAUCUAACCAGAAAGCCACGGCUAACUACGUG
rnacentral:rRNA from 1 species